rnacentral:rRNA from 1 species
UACGUAGGCAGCAAGCGUUGUUCGGAAUUACUGGGCGUAAAGAGUGUGUAGGCGGUGCUCUAAGUUCGGUGUGAAAUCUCCCGGCUCAACUGGGAGGGUGCGCCGGAAACUGGGGUGCUGGAGCGCGGGAGAGGAAAGCGGAAUUCCUGGUGUAGCGGUGAAAUGCGGUAGAUAUCAGGAGGAACACCUGCGGUGUAGACGGCUUACUGGACCGUAACUGACGCUGAGGCACGAAAGCGUGGGUAGCAAAACGGG